rnacentral:rRNA from 1 species
GGCAACCUGCCCUCUGGUUGGGGACAACAUUCCGAAAGGGAUGCUAAUACCGAAUGUGAUCCUCUUUCCGCAUGGAGAGAGGAUGAAAGAUGGCCUCUACUUGUAAGCUAUCGCCAGAAGAUGGGCCUGCGUCUGAUUAGCUUGUAGGUGGGGUAACGGCUCACCUAGSCGAUGAUCAGUAGCCGGUCUGAGAGGAUGAACGGCCACAUUGGGACUGAGACACGGCCCAAACUCCUACGGGAGGCAGCAGUGGGGAAUCUUCCGCAAUGGACGAAAGUCUGACGGAGCAACGCCGCGUGAGUGAUGAAGGUCUUCGGAUUGUAAAACUCUGUUGUCAGGGACGAAUGCACCGAUUUAUAAUACACUUUGGUGUUGACGGUACCUGACGAGGAAGCCACGGCUAACUACGUGCCAGCAGCCGCGGUAAUACGUAGGUGGCAAGCGUUGUCCGGAAUUAUUGGGCGUAAAGAGCAUGUAGGCGGGCUUUUAAGUCCGACGUGAAAAUGCGGGGCUUAACCCCGUAUGGCGUUGGAUACUGGGAGUCUUGAGUGCAGGAGAGGAAAGGGGAAUUCCCAGUGUAGCGGUGAAAUGCGUAGAUAUUGGGAGGAACACCAGUGGCGAAGGCGCCUUUCUGGACU